GUGCAUGAAGGCAACAUCCUUUAUUCUUUCUUUACUCAUUCCUGGGCCAAGUGGGCCCGGAAAUCAUAUUGAUAUCUACUUGCAACCUCUUAUCGAAGAAUUGAUGGAGUUAUGGGAGGUUGGAACAGAGACUUAUGACUCCUCUUGUGGUGAAACAUUUCGACUCAAGGCGGCACUUUUGUGGACAAUUAAUGAUUUUCCUGCAUACGGAAAUUUGUCGGGGUGGAACGUACAUGGAGCGUUUGCCUGCCCUUGUUGUAAUAUAGACACUUUCUCCAAACGGUUAUCACAUGGUCGCAAAUAUUGCUUCAUGGGUCAUCGGCGUUUUCUAGAACCAAACCAUAAGUUUCAUUAUAAUAGAGACUCUUUUGAUGGCGCUGAAGAAUAUGGUCACGCACCCGCGAUACCUACUGGGACUAUGAUAUUGCGUCAACUAGAGAAGAUUACUGACUUUGAUGAUUCACAGACAUGGAAGAAGAAGAGUAUAUUUUUUACGUUGCCUUAUUGGAAAUCUAAUUUAUUAAGGCAUAACCUUGAUGUCAUGCACAUAGAGAAGAACGUGUCUGAAAAUGUCUAUGGUACAUUGUUAAAUAUAGAAGGCAAGUCGAAGGACAAUUUGAAUGCUCGUCUUGAUUUGCAAGAAUUGAAUAUUAGAGAAGACCUUCAUCCUCAACAGAUAGGUCCAAACAAGUUAUAUUUGCCAUCUGCUUGUUACACAAUGUCUAGAAAUGAGAAGCAAGUAUUUUGCAAUUUGCUCUGCAAUAUCAAAGCUCCUGACGGGUAUACAGGAAACAUCUCAAGAUGUGUAAAUUCUGCACAUUGUAAAAUUUUUGGGCUCAAAAGUCAUGAUUGUCAUAUAUUGAUGCAACAACUUCUACCUAUUGCAUUACGAGGACUUCUUCCAAUGAAUGUAACACUGCCAUUAUUUGAUCUAAGUAGUUAUUUUAGAGAAUUAUGUUCGAAGGUUCUUCACGUACACGAAUUAGAUCAACUUGAGAGUCGAAUUAGAUUAACAAUGUGCCACCUGGAAAUGAUUUUUUCUCCAGGAUUUUUCACUAUUAUGGUGCAUUUGGUCACCCAUUUAGCUACUGAGGCAAAGAUUGCCGGUCCGGUUCAGUAUCGAUGGAUGUAUCCUAUUGAACGGUACCUUCGCACCUUAAAGUCUUACGUGCGUAAUAAGGCUCGUCCAGAGGGCUCUAUUGCAGAAGCGUACUUAGCAGAUGAAUGCAUGACCUUUUGUUCUCGAUACUUAGAAGGUUUCGAGACAAAAUUCAACCGGCCUUCGAGAAAUGAUGAAAGGGUGAAUGUAGAAGAACAUUCGAAUUUGACGGCAGAAUCAAUUUUAUUUCCUCGUGUGGGACGACCUAUAGGAAAGCCUACUAAUUACAUACUUAAUGAUUUGGAAAAAGUACAGGCACAUCGCUACGUUCUUUUCAAUUGCCCAGAUGUUGUCCCAUUUCUUAAAGAACAUGCAGUGGAGAUUCGAAGAAAAAGUCGACCACGUCGUCUCUCAUUGAGAGACGUAGAGCGUGCCCAGAAUAAAAGCUUUCAUGAAUGGUUUACCGAACAUAUUUUGAAAUUAGAGAGAAAUGAGAGCACUCAACAUCUCAAAGAAGAGAUUAGAUGGCUAGCUCGUGGACCUAAUCAAGUGGCAAGAAAGUUUCGAGGGUUUAAUAUUCAUGGUUAUAGAUUCCGACCAACACGUUAUGACAAGGAAACCCAAAAUAGUGGAGUUGUUGUAACUGCAAAAACAUCAAGCUAUGCAUCGGUCAGUGAUAACAAUCCAAUUUUUGGAGAAAUCACUUAUUAUGGUAAAGUUUUGGAGAUUAUUGAACUCGAUUAUUGGGGAAAAUUUUCAGUCGUAUUGUUUAAAUGUAAGUGGGUUGAUGUUACUCAUGGAAAGGGAUUGAAGAGAGAUGAGUAUGGUUUCACACUUGUAAAUUUCUCACACUUGAUACACACGGGUGAAAAAUUGGAGGACGAACCAUUCAUCUUUGCGACCCAAGCUGAACAAGUAUUUUAUGUGGAAGAUGAACUAAAUUCCGGAUGGUCCACUGUAAUAAAGUUCAAGCCUAGAGAUGUCUACGAAAUGGGUAACAAUAAUUUGGAAUAUGUGCAAUAUGAGCCUUAUCAUUGUAUAUGUCCACUAGACUUCCUUUUACCCUGGGAUUUGUUGGAAGCAUGAUUGGCACCAUAUAUGUGUCUGUGGUGCUUCGCAGUUACGUUCUCUCUGUCUUCUUCUCCGUUCUUCAGGUUCAAGUAUAUAUUCGUGGAGCCGAUCAGAAUUCGUUUAUGCACUUUUUGAUUUUGUUAUCAUACAAUUUUUGAUUUUUUAUAUUUCUUUCAGUUAGAGAGUUUGAUUUGUUAUAAUUACUACAACAUAUAAAUGGAUAUUAUUGUUGUGACG